CCUACGGGAGGCAGCAGUGAGGAAUAUUGGUCAAUGGGCGCGAGCCUGAACCAGCCAAGUCGCGUGAGGGAAGACGGCCCUACGGGUUGUAAACCUCUUUUGCCGGGGAGCAACGGGCGCCACGUGUGGCGCCACUGAGAGUACCCGGCGAAAAAGCAUCGGCUAACCCCGUGCCAGCAGCCGCGGUAAUACGAAGGAUGCGACCGUUCUCCGGAUUUUUUGGGUUUAAAGGGGUCGUAGGCGGAGCGUUAAGUCAGUGGUAAACUUGAGGGGUUCAACCCCUUCCCGCCAUUGAAACUGGCGGUCUGGAGAGGAAGAGAGGUAUGCGGAAUGCGUGGUGUAGCGGUGAAAUGCAUAGAUAUCACGCAGAACCCCGAUUGCGAAGGCAGCAUGCCGGCUUCCUACUGACGCUGAAGCACGAAAGCGUGGGGAUCGAACAGGAUUAGAUACCCCUGUAGUC
rnacentral:rRNA from 1 species